rnacentral:tRNA from 1 species
GCCUUGUGGUUAAGCCACCAGGUUUUAAACCUGAUGGUCGUAGGUACGAGACCC